rnacentral:lncRNA from 1 species
GGAUAGUCCUUCCUAACCCUCCUCCUCCUGGUUUGAUUGAUCCCCAAAGAGGUCGCUAUAUAGUGUUCUUUCUCAAACAGAGGGAUUUCGGUCUACCGUUUCCUUUUACCCCUUUCUUUAUUGAGGUUUUCUGGUACUUCGGGGUAACCCCUCGGAUGUUAUCCCCAAAUUCCAUUUUGUUUCUGUCCUGUUUUGAGUCUAUCUGCCUGAGUUGGGGUUUUACUCCCACGGCGUGUCUGUUCGUCACUUUUUUCCGUCUGGUUAGAGCAGUUCAGAAUUUUUAUUACUUUUCCCCCC